rnacentral:rRNA from 1 species
UUAUCAAAAACAUGUCUUUUUGAAUUUAAUAUAAAGUCUAAUCUGCCCACUGAUAUUAUAAUAUAUUAAAGGGCUGCAGUAUAUUGACUGUACAAAGGUAGCAUAAUCAUUAGUCAUUUAAUUGAUGACUUGUAUGAAAGAUUGGAUGAAAUAUAAGCUGUCUCUUUAUUAUUUUAUAGAAUUUAAUUUUUUAAUUAAAAAGUUAAAAUAAAUUAAAAAGACGAGAAGACCCUAUAGAGUUUUAUAUUUAAAAUAAUUGAGAUUAUUUAUAAAUUUUUUAAUUAAAAUUAUUUUAAUUAUUUUGUUGGGGUGACAAAAAAAUAUGAAAAACUUUUUUUAUUAUUUAACAUAGAUAAGUGAGUAUAUGAUCCAAUAUUAUUGAUUAUAAGAAAAAAUUACCUUAGGGAUAACAGCGUAAUUUUUUUUUUUAGUUCGAAUAAAAAAAAGAGUUUGCGACCUCGAUGUUGGAUUAAGAUAAAAUUUAAAUGUAG